UGGCGGACGGGUGAGUAACGCGUGGAAAACCUGCCGUAUACUGGGGGAUAACACUUAGAAAUAGGUGCUAAUACCGCAUAAGCGCACAGCUUCGCAUGAAGCGGUGUGAAAAACUCUGGUGGUAUACGAUGGUUCCGCGUCUGAUUAGCUAGUUGGUGGGGUAAUGGCCUACCAAGGCAACGAUCAGUAGCCGGCCUGAGAGGGUGACCGGCCACAUUGGGACUGAGACACGGCCCAAACUCCUACGGAAGGCAGCAG
rnacentral:rRNA from 1 species